ensembl:lncRNA
GCUCCUUGAGGUUUUCACCUGCUAACAGUCAACAGGUGAGUCUUGUUAGAUGUUAACUGGUGGGAUUUUGCAGUCAUGUUGCUGCACAGCAACAGGCUCUGUUAAACUACUGCAGAAAUCCAUUAUAUGACAAGAACUACUCAGCAAAGUAAAGACAAAUGACAGUUUCUUGUUACUUUAAGACAUGAAGGUCAGUCAGUCAGAUAAUUUCAUGAAAGUUUCCUCAAAAAGCUCCAAACACAGUGGAGAAACUGGUUCUGAUGAGGAGAACAGAUUAGAUCCACAUCAGUGCAAGCAACAAAUUACAGAGAGAAUAAGACUUUAAUGGUGGAACGGCUGCAAAAAAACCAAGAAGAAGAAGAGAACUGCUCGGACCCGGAGGUAGUUGAAGUGGAUUUUAGACCAGCUGAAAUCUGAAUGCAGAGAAUGGACUGUGAUGCUGUUGGAGAUUUACUUAAAGUUCAAGUCUUUCUCUAUGUGAGCCAUCGUGAUCUUCAGUGCAUCGAUGUCUUUACACUCCACAACAUCUGGAAUCUUCAGCAGGAUCCGGUUCCACUGUUGGACUCCAGGAGCCUGAUGGAACAUAAUAAACACACACAGGUUGGCCAUGAUGCGGUGAAGAUGUUCUGCAUCCUCUUGGACCGUUUGCUCCACGUCUGGGUUCCAACAUCUCUGCAGUUUACGUCGACUGCUCUGGAGGAGAUGCUUCAGAUGCAGCUGAAGGUUUUGGUCCAGAUCUGCAGGAGGCUUCGGGAAAAUCUGGGACAAGAAUCUUCGUACGAGGUGUUCUUCCUCCUCAGUGUUGACGGUGUUCUGAACCAAGGGCUCGGCUACAGUGUAUCCUGUAAAAGAUAUGAAAAGGGAUUAUUCAUGGACACCGAAUCCCUUUUUAGGGGGUCGUGUCUCAUUUUUUGAUUGGUCUUGUCCACAUCACAGAGCAGUUACAAUAAUCACUUUUGGAAUAAACCAAACACAGAAACUUUAAAAGCUUAACUGGAGUCCAAGCUCUUAGUGAGUCCAUUUCAUUUAGUGCUAAUGUUACACUUGGGUUUGUAAUUGCUGCUUUCUGUCAUUUUCCAACACGGUUUUCCAACGUUUUCACUCACUGUUUACUUUAGUUUUCGAAACCGAAAGUCUGACAUGGUUAGUUCAAGGGCCGUCAACAAUUCUUUCCAUUUUUACAGCUCUUGGUUCUGAUAAAUGGUGUAAGUUUGGCAGUUGUUUUGAUUUAUUAACUUCUUUAAAGGUGCCUUUAAAAAAUCUGCCGGUGGGUUUUGGAGGCGCGGCAGGAUUACUGCACAGGAAACAAAGGAAUUUCUACUCCUGUUGUUCUUGAACUACAGUUCUUAUCACGGUUUAGUGACUUCUUAUCAAAUAUUUUUCCCAGAAGUUUGACUAAGGUAGGAAUGGGCCGAGCUUGGAAAAAAUGACGUAACAUUUUCGAUGGAUGAUUAUGAAACUGUUCAGCGUGCAGACAUUGGCUUCAGCUGAAUACUGGUUUGGAGGAUAUGUGUAGCUUCCAGACAAUGACUUCUAGUGACUUUGUUGGCACCAUGAUGUUUUGUUUAACCACAAGGCAUUCACUGAUCUACUUCUUAGCUUUUCCAUUCAUCAUAAGAAAGUGGAAGAACCGAUUCGUUUACUACAAUAAAAAUUGGAGCCGAUGAUAACACGACUGGCAUCACAGAAGAAACUGUAUCGGCUGUUUUCUUUACGCUCACACGUCCAACACAACAAUACACCGCCCACUACAGUUACAUAUCAAUCCAGGGAUGGGUGAUAAUGCGCAGCACGCCUCAUUAAAGUAAGGCUCGCUCCAGUCUAGUGAUUAGUGGGUUGAAUUAUGACAUCGCUUUGAUUUGGUUUUAUCUUUUCUAUGUACACUACCGUUC